UGGGGAAUAUUGCGCAAUGGGGGAAACCCUGACGCAGCGACGCCGCGUGUGGGAUGAAGGUCUUCGGAUUGUAAACCACUGUCGCGAGGGACGAAGCUCUGACGGUACCUCGAAAGGAAGCACCGGCUAACUCUGUGCCAGCAGCCGCGGUAAUACAGAGGCCACGAACGUUGUUCGGAAUCACUGGGCAUAAAGCGCACGUAGGCGGCUAGGUCCGUCCGAUGUGAAAGCCCCCGGCUCAACCGGGGAAUUGCAUCGGAUACAGCCUGGCUUGAGGACGGUUGGGGUGAGUGGAACUCCUGGUGGAGCGGUGAAAUGCGUAGAUAUCGGGAGGAACACCUGUGGCGAAGGCGGCCACCUGGUUGGAUACUGACGCUGAGACGCGAAAGCGUGGGGAGCAAACAGGAUUAGAUACCCCGGUAGUCCCUGAGCGGGCUGGCAAGGCGCAU
rnacentral:rRNA from 1 species